CCGGGGGGACUGUGUUCUCUCACAACAUCUUUUGGAAUUAUCACUUCAUACUGAAACAAGGGUUUGAUCUUUUCAUGAGAUGUAUGGUGAUGAAAUUAAGGCCAGGGGCUCUGGGGACAGAAGAGAAGGCUGGCGCCACUCGUAUGCCCUGGAGAAACAGUGAGAUGAAGAGCACAGCCUCUAGAGCCAGAGUGUCUGGAUCUAAAAUUGGCUCUGCCAACAAGCAUAAUUGAAAAUUAAGAAUGCCAUGGAAAGCAAGGUGAAAAAGGCAGGGGUGUACACAUCAAUCCCAGAUCCAGGGAGCCAACAUCUUUAAGUAGACUUCUUCAGAUGGCCCAUGGGGUACCACAGAGCUUACAGAACAACUUAAGAUCACUCCAAACCAGAGUCAAAGACAUCCCUGCCACGCAGCACAUAGAUUUAUAACUCUGGUCAAAGGUUUCAACAAAUACAGAUUUCUUCAAUCCGAAGUCCAUCUGUGUGUGUUCCCAGAAAUAAAGAACAGUGCAUGUCUAUCUCCCUCUCUCUAAUCCAUAGAGGUAGCAAGGGCAGGAGAAUUGAAUUCCCAAAAGGACUUCUUAUAGCUCUGGUGAUAAUUACCAUCUCAAACAGGCUGGUGCUACCUUG
rnacentral:lncRNA from 1 species